ensembl:lncRNA
UUUUUUUUUUUGAGACGGAGUUUCGCUCUUGUCACCCAGGCUGGAGUGUAAUGGCUCGAUCUCAGCUCACCACAACCUCUGCCUCCCAGGUUCAAGCGAUUCUCCUGCCUCAGCCUCCCAAGUGGCUGGGAUUACAGCCAUGGGCCACCAUGCCUGGCUAAUUUUGUAUUUUUAGUAGAGAUGGGGUUUCUCCAUGUGGGUCAGGCUGGUCUCGAACUCCUGACCUCAGGUGAUCUGCCUGCCUCAGCCUCCCAAAGUGCUGGGAUUACAGGUCUGAGCCACCGCAUCCAGCCUAUUCCAUUUACUUUCAACAACACAAUGAGGCAGGUAUUAGCAUUCUUAUUUUACGGAUUAGGAAAAGGUGGCUCCAAAAGCAAAAAUCAGUUGUCCCUGCCAGAUAGGGUCCAUUUAUUCCACCAGAGCUACUAUCCAUUCUGCCCUGGGAGGCCGACCUGUUUGAAUUAACCCCUGUCUUCCUGGGCCUUAUGGCUUCUGCCAGAUUCAGCCAAUGGGGAGCCUUAGCAGAGAUAGGAAGAAGUGAGGAGAGUGAAGAUGUGACACUUAUUCCUCUGGCCCCACCUGUGAGGUCCCUCAGGUAGGCUGUGUCCCUCAUGUGAAGGACAUUGUUUAUUCAAGGUGACCUCUCCUUGACUGUCUCCUACUCGGACUCACUGACCGCUCCUUGGUUGUGUCUCCUUUGGCCAGAAGUUGCUCUUAGAUUCUACUUACUGCAUUACCUUGGUAAAUAGUUCUUCUGUAAAUGAGUCCCCUUUAAAUUCCUAUUCUAGGUGUGCCACCUGGUUCCUGCUGGGACCCUGACUGAUGCAUGGCCUGAGGCCACCCGGUGAGCAAGCUGCAGAGCCUGGAUUUAAACUGUCUUCAAGGACUUGCCUCCCCUCUGGGCUGGGAUGUUUGGGCUUGCAAAGCACAAAGGGAGGCUCUGGGGCAGGGACUUUUGUGGUUGCAUAUGAACUCUGCAUUUCCUGGUUUCUCUUGCACUUAGGGUGGGCUGGUUGAAGCCUAGACAGAAGACGUGUGCCCACUUUUGAGCCAAAGCAGGGAAGAGGUAGUGAGACUUUUGCACUUAUGUCUUCCCUGUUGAAGCAUAUUAGAGGCCCUGGGUUGCCGAGGAACUGCAAGAGGGAAGGGGAUGUUGACCCGGCUUGAAUUUUGUGUGAGUAAGGAGUAAACCAUGAUCAUGUUAAACCAUGAAGAUUUGGGGGUGUCCUUGUUACUACAGCCUUGCCUAGCCUGGCCUGACCGAUACAGAGGCUGAAGACUUGGAAUGACCGCUACACAUUCCUGGAGUUUCACCUGAGCAGAUUCCACGGACACGCCCCCUGAGCCUGAGCAUGUGUGUGUGCGUGUAUACACCCUGGCAGACAGCCCUCUCCAGGAAACCGUGUGGGCCUCUCCAUCAUCAGGCAGAAAGUCAUCAGCCCUCUAAUUGCCGUCCUCGCUAACUCCCUGGCUAUCUGCCCAGCCUGACCUCCUGGAGGAGAAAUGACUCCAAAUUCAGAGCACAAACUCCGUGGCUGAUGUAUUAUAAUAAUCAGCGCGAGAAUUCAGAUGCCCACAAGUUGGGAUUUCAGAAUCUCGGUUCCCACAGCAACGGUCCCAGUGCUCCAGCAUAGUUUUCAAUGUUACGACAUGCGGUGGGGGAGGGGGAUUGAACGAUGGCUGCAGUGUGUAUGACUGUGAGGUGUGUGCAUGUGAGUGUGUGUGAGUGACUCUGUGCAUAUGUGAUUAAGACUGUGUGUGUGAAUGUGAUGUGUGUUGGGGUGGGGGGCCUUUAACUCAACUCUGUAUCAUUUCUCUCUCUGGGUCUGGAAAACCACUCUCUCAUGCAUAAAGACACAAAUGUGUUCUCCUAGAUCGGAAAACCCUAGAGGGCAGGGCCCACGGCUGGGUCAGCCCUGUGUCCCCCACAGUGUCCAAGGCAGUGUUUGUUGAUUGACUGACCGAAUGAAAGAGUGAGCAGCAGCUGCCAGCUCCAAGGCAGUUGGUUGAAAGCAGAUAACCUUGAAGGCUUUAUUUUUGCAACAAGCAUUCUCCCAUCCCCUAUCCCAGGAAGGGAACCUGGCUUCUCUGUUCUCUGACUUCUGCACUACAGGAAGAAAAACAGAAAUUACCUGGAACCAUCUUUCCAUCCAGGCCUCAUUUCACAGAGGGCCGAAUGCAAGAUCAGCGUUUCUCAGACAUCAUGAUCACCUUUUUUGUUUUGAGACAGAGUCUCGCUCUGUCGCCCAGGCUGGAGUGCAGCGGCGCAAUCUCGACUCACUGCAACCUCUGCCUCCUGUGUUCAAGCGAUUCUCGUGCCUCAGUCUCCCGAGUAGCUGGGA